rnacentral:tRNA from 1 species
UAAAUUAAAGCUUUUGGAAGCAAUUCAUUUACACUGAAAAGAUGUCUGUCGAUUCAGACUAAUUUAA